GACAGAGGGUGCAAACGUUGCUCGGAAUCACUGGGCGUAAAGGGCGUGUAGGCGGAUAUUUAAGUCAGGGGUGAAAUCCCAGAGCUCAACUCUGGAACUGCCUUUGAUACUGGGUAUCUUGAGUAUGGAAGAGGUAAGUGGAAUUGCGAGUGUAGAGGUGAAAUUCGUAGAUAUUCGCAGGAACACCAGUGGCGAAGGCGGCUUACUGGUCCAUAACUGACGCUGAGGUGCGAAAGCGUGGGGAGCAAACAGG
rnacentral:rRNA from 1 species